rnacentral:rRNA from 1 species
CCUACGGGCGGCUGCAGUGGGGAAUAUUGGACAAUGGGCGAAAGCCUGAUCCAGCCAUGCCGCGUGUGUGAAGAAGGCCUUCGGGUUGUAAAGCACUUUCAGUGGGGAAGAAAGCCUUGGGGCUAAUACCCUCGAGGAAGGACAUCACCCACAGAAGAAGCACCGGCUAACUCCGUGCCAGCAGCCGCGGUAAUACGGAGGGUGCGAGCGUUAAUCGGAAUUACUGGGCGUAAAGCGCGCGUAGGCGGUCUGAUAAGCCGGUUGUGAAAGCCCCGGGCUCAACCUGGGAACGGCAUCCGGAACUGUCAGGCUAGAGUGCAGGAGAGGAAGGUAGAAUUCCCGGUGUAGCGGUGAAAUGCGUAGAGAUCGGGAGGAAUACCAGUGGCGAAGGCGGCCUUCUGGACUGACACUGACGCUGAGGUGCGAAAGCGUGGGUAGCAAACAGGAUUAGAUCCCCGGUAGUC